rnacentral:rRNA from 1 species
CCGACUGCUAUUUGGGUGAGGAUAAGCCAUGCGAGUUGAAUGGGAUACCUAAAGUUCCCAUAGCAAACUGCUCAGUAACACAUGAUCAACUUGCCCUAUAGAGAAAAAUAACCUCGGGAAACUGAGGAUAAUAUUUCAUAACUGAAUUGGCUUGGAAAAGUUUUUCAGUGAAAGGGAUAAAAUAAAUGGUUUUUAUCUGCUAUAGGAUAGGAUCGUGUUCGAUUAUGGUUGUUGGUGAGGUAAUGGCUCACCAAGCCGAUAAUCGAUAGGGGCCGUGAGAGCGGGAGCCCCGAGAUGGGUACUGAGACAACGACCCAGGCCUUACGAGGCGCAGCAGGCGCGAAACCUCCGCAAUACACGAAAGUGUGACGGGGUUACCCAAAGUGUUCAAUUUUGAACUGUGGUAGGUGAGUAAUGUUCCCUACUAGAAAGGAGAGGGCAAGGCUGGUGCCAGCCGCCGCGGUAAAACCAGCUCUUCAAGUGGUCGGGAUAAUUAUUGGGCUUAAAGUGUCCGUAGCCGGUUUAGUAAGUUCCUGGUAAAAUCGGGUAGCUUAACUAUCUAUAUGCUAGGAAUACUGCUAUACUAGAGGGCGGGAGAGGUCUGAGGUACUACAGGGGUAGGGGUGAAAUCUUAUAAUCCUUGUAGGACCACCAGUGGCGAAGGCGUCAGACUGGAACGCGCCUGACGGUGAGGGACGAAAGCCAGGGGAGCGAACCGGAUUAGAUACCCGGGUAGUCCUGGCCGUAAACGAUGCAUACUAGGUGAUGGCACGGCCAUGAGCCGUGUCAGUGCCGUAGGGAAACCGUUAAGUGUGCCGCCUGGGAAGUACGGUCGCAAGGCUAAAACUUAAAGGAAUUGG